rnacentral:rRNA from 1 species
AUACAGAGGGUGCGAGCGUUAAUCGGAAUUACUGGGCGUAAAGCGCGCGUAGGCGGCUUAUUAAGUCAGAUGUGAAAUCCCCGGGCUCAACCUGGGAACUACAUCUGAUACUGGUAAGCUAGAGUUUUGGAGAGGGAAGUAGAAUUUCAGGUGUAGCGGUGAAAUGCAUAGAGAUCUGAAGGAAUACCAGUGGCGAAGGCGACUUCCUGGCCAAAAACUGACGCUGAGGUGCGAAAGCGUGGGUAGCAAACGGGAUUAGAUACCCUAGUAGUCC